GAUGAAGAACGUAGCGAAAUGCGAUAAGUAGUGUGAAUUGCAGAAUUCAGUGAAUCAUCGAAUCUUUGAACGCACAUUGCGGCCAUAGGUAUUCCUUUGGCCAUGCCUGUUCGAGCGUCAUUUACACCCUCAAGCCUAGCUUGGUGUUGGGCGCCUGUCCCGCCGUUUUCGCGCGCGGACUCGCCUCAAAGUCAUUGGCGGCGGUCGUGCCGGCCCCCUCGCGCAGCACAUUUGCGCUUCUCGGAGGCCCGGCGGAUCCGCGCUCCAGCAAGACCUUUCACGACUUGACCUCGGAUCAGGUAGGGAUACCCGCUGAACUUAAGCAUAUCAAUAAGCGGAAGGA
rnacentral:misc_RNA from 1 species